rnacentral:rRNA from 1 species
AUGCCGCGUGAGUGAAGGAGGCCUUCGGGUUGUAAAGCUCUUUUGUCAGGAAAGAAACACCGGCUCUAACACAGUCCGGGAAUGACGGUACCUGAAGAAUAAGCACCGGCUAACUACGUGCCAGCAGCCGCGGUAAUACGUAGGGUGCGAGCGUUAAUCGGAAUUACUGGGCGUAAAGCGUGCGCAGGCGGUUAUACAAGACAGGCGUGAAAUCCCCGGGCUUAACCUGGGAAUGGCGCCUGUGACUGUAUAGCUAGAGUGUGUCAGAGGGGGGUAGAAUUCCACGUGUAGCAGUGAAAUGCGUAGAUAUGUGGAGGAAUACCAAUGGCGAAGGCAGCCCCCUGGGAUAACACUGACGCUCAUGCACGAAAGCGUGGGGAGCAAACAGGAUUAGAUACCCUGGUAGUCCACGCCCUAAACGAUGCUGACUAGUUGUUCGGGAUUUACAUCCUGAGUAACGUAGCUAACGCGUGAAGUCAGCCGCCUGGGGAGUACGGUCGCAAGAUUAAAACUCAAAGGAAUUGACGGGGACCCGCACAAGCGGUGGAUGACGUGGAUUAAUUCGAUGCAACGCGAAAAACCUUACCUACCCUUGACAUGUCACUAACGAAGUAGAGAUACAUUAGGUGCUCGUAAGAGAAAGUGAACACAGGUGCUGCAUGGCUGUCGUCAGCUCGUGUCGUGAGAU